UACGUAGGGUGCGAGCGUUAAUCGGAAUUACUGGGCGUAAAGCGUGCGCAGGCGGUUCGUUGUGUCGGUGGUGAAAUCCCCGGGCUUAACCUGGGAAUGGCCAUGGAAACUGGCGAACUGGAGUGUGGCAGAGGGGGGUGGAAUUCCGCGUGUAGCAGUGAAAUGCGUAGAGAUGCGGAGGAACACCGAUGGCGAAGGCAGCCCCCUGGGAUAACACUGACGCUCAUGCACGAAAGCGUGGGGAGCAAACAGG
rnacentral:rRNA from 1 species